CUUACCAGGUCCAGACACAGUUAGGAUUGACAGAUUGAGAGCUCUUUCUUGAUUCUGUGGGUGGUGGUGCAUUGCCGUUCUUAGUUGGUGGAGUGAUUUGUCUGGUUAAUUCCGAUAACGAACGAGACCUCAGUUUAUUAAUUAAAUAAAAAAAUAUUAACAAUAUAAGGGUUAGGAGUUUAUUGAUAAAUUACUUGUAAUUUAUUAAUUUCUUUUAAAACUUGUUUAUAUUUCUUUUUAUUUUCUUAAAAAGACACUUGGUGUUUAACCAAGGGAAGUUUGAGGCAAUAACAGGUCUGUGAUGCCCUUUAGAUGUUCUGGGCCGCACGCGCGCUACACUGAUAAAAUCAAUAAGUUUUUUAUUAAAUUAACCUUAAUAGAAAUAUUUGGGUAAACUUUGAAAAUUUUAUCGUGCUGGGGAUUGACAAUUGUAAUUAUUUGUCAUCAACGAGGAAUUCCUAGUAAACGUAAGUCAUCAGCUUACGUUGAUUACGUCCCUGCCCUUUGUACACACCGCCCGUC
rnacentral:rRNA from 1 species